UACGGGGGGGUAAGCGUUGUUCGGAAUUACUGGGCUUAAAGGGCUCGUAGGCGGCCAACUAAGUCAUACGUGAAAUCCCUCAGCUUAACUGGGGAACUGCGUGUGAUACUGGAUGGCUUGGAUUUGGGAGAGGGAUGCGGAAUUCCAGGUGUAGCGGUGAAAUGCGUAGAUAUCUGGAGGAACACCGGUGGCGAAGGCGGCAUCCUGGACCAACACUGACACUGAUGAGCGAAAGCCAGGGGAGCAAACGGG
rnacentral:rRNA from 1 species